rnacentral:rRNA from 1 species
UGGGGAAUAUUGGACAAUGGGGGCAACCCUGAUCCAGCAAUGCCGCGUGUGUGAAGAAGGUUUUCGGAUUGUAAAGCACUUUCGGCGGGGACGAUGAUGACGGUACCCGCAGAAGAAGCCCCGGCUAACUUCGUGCCAGCAGCCGCGGUAAUACGAAGGGGGCUAGCGUUGCUCGGAAUGACUGGGCGUAAAGGGCGUGUAGGCGGUUUGUACAGUCAGAUGUGAAAUCCCCGGGCUUAACCUGGGAGCUGCAUUUGAUACGUGCAGACUAGAGUGUGAGAGAGGGUUGUGGAAUUCCCAGUGUAGAGGUGAAAUUCGUAGAUAUUGGGAAGAACACCGGUGGCGAAGGCGGCAACCUGGCUCAUGACUGACGCUGAGGCGCGAAAGCGUGGGGAGCAAACAGGAUUAGAUACCCU